GUCAACUACUGGCAGCGCGCCGCGUGAUGACGGAGGGGCGGGGCGUUGUCCGGAAUUAUUGGGCGUAAAGGGCUCGUAGGCGGUUGGUCACGUCGGGAGGGAAAACUCAGGGCUCAACCCUGAGCGUGCUUCCGAUACGGGCCGACUAGAGGUAUGCAGGGGAGAACGGAAUUCCUGGUGUAGCGGUGGAAUGCGCAGAUAUCAGGAGGAACACCGGUGGCGAAGGCGGUUCUCUGGGCAUUACCUGACGCUGAGGAGCGAAAGCAUGGGGAGCGAACAGGAUUAGAUACCCCGGUAGUC
rnacentral:rRNA from 1 species